GCGCUCGUAGCUUAGCUGGUAGAGCACGGCACUUUUAAUGCUGAGGUCCUGCGUUCGAAUCGCAGCGGGCGCA
rnacentral:tRNA from 1 species